GCUUACUAAAGUGCGAUUGACGCUGAGGCACGAAAGCGUGGGGAUCAAACAGGAUUAGAUACCCUGGUAGUCCACGCCCUAAACGAUGAAUACUCGAUGUUGGCGAUAUACGGUCAGCGUCUAAGCGAAAGCGUUAAGUAUUCCACCUGGGGAGUACGCCCGCAAGGGUGAAACUCAAAGGAAUUGACGGGGGCCCGCACAAGCGGAGGAGCGUGUGGUUUAAUUCGAUGAUACGCGAGGAACCUUACCCGGGCUUGAAAGUUAGUGAAUGAUACAGAGACGUAUCAGUCCUUCGGGACACGAAACUAGGUGCUGCAUGGCUGUCGUCAGCUCGUGCCGUGAGGUGUUGGGUUAAGUCCCGCAACGAGCGCAACCCCUGUGUUUAGUUGCCAGCACGUAAUGGUGGGGACUCUAAACAGACUGCCUAUGCAAAUAGAGAGGAAGGAGGGGACGACGUCAAGUCAUCAUGGCCCUUACGUCCGGGGCUACACACGUGCUACAAUGGAUGGUACAGAGGGCUGCUACCUGGCAACAGGAUGCCAAUCUCUAAAAGCCAUUCACAGUUCGGAUCGGGGUCUGCAACUCGACCCCGUGAAGUUGGAUUCGCUAGUAAUCGCGUAUCAGCAAUGACGCGGUGAAUACGUUCCCGGGCCUUGUACACACCGCCCGUCAAGCCAUGGAAGCUGGAAGUGCCUGAAGUGCGUAACCGCAAGGAGCGUCCUAGGGUAAAGUCGGUAACUGGGGCUAAGUCGUAACAAGGUAACC
rnacentral:rRNA from 1 species